GGGGCCACUCUGGGGAACGGAUCCAGUGAGGUGUUAGAAGAGUCAAGAGGAGAGAAACUUGCAGAAUUACGGAUCGAAAUUAGGAACCCAAAUUGAUGUCAAUUGAUCUAUUACCCCCCUUUAAUUGGCUUCUCCUGGGGCUAUUUUUCCUUUUUUGUUUUGUUUUUUUUUUUUUUUUUGAUCCCUCCUUCGCUUUUCAUGCGCUCACACAAAUUAAUCAACUCCCACCCCACAACGGGGAGCAGCGACGACGCACGCAACAACCAUCUGCCACCCUUGCGGUGGGCCCCGUGCAACCUGCUCUCUGCCAUUUAUCGCCCUCAAUUUGAUUUUGGUUUUUAUUUCUGUCCCUGUCGCUUGGGUUGAGUUGGGAGUGGAGCCUCUGUGGGGAUGCCGGCCACUGCGCCCCACAGAGAAGUCAGAGGGGAAUGGAGACGGCCGCUACCCGGCCUGGCUUCUGAGGACGGUGGCUGGUCCUCGGAGGUCCUGAGGGGCGGAGGAGGGGUGGGGUGGCAACUCCCCAGGUGUCAGGAAGGUGCUCGGUGGCCAUCAGGAUGGGGCCCCCGGCUGGCCCGAGGCCGGCUGGGGGGGAAGGGAAUGCAGAUGUGCGUAGAGGGGUUUCAUCAGGCUGGAGCAGGUGGCCGCCUUCCGCGCACUUGGGGAGCCCUCCCCCACCACUCGGUGACAUCUUGCCCGCCUCCUCAGCACCCCGUCUUGUCCCCAGGAGGCUUGGAGCUCUGAGGGGCCUCCUGGGGGCCAGGCGGGGUGAGGUCGGGGAGUAGGGGAGGUCAGAAGGGUGUGGGCUGCCCAGAGCCAAAAAGCUGCAUGUUGGUCCAUCUACUGGGAUUGCUUGGGCCCCCAGCGCAGCCCCCCUGCACGGCAGCCCGACUAGCAGUCUAGAGGCCCAAGGCUUGUGGGCCCUGGCAACGGGGCUGGCAUGACCCAGGGGGCGGUCCAUGCCAGUCCACCCGUGGCACAGAGGGUCCUUCGGCGAGUGCCCGGAGAAUGGGCCAUUCGGAACAUUGGACAGAAGCUCAAAGAGUCAAAUUGUCAUAAUUGGCGAACCACAGAUUGGCCUGAGAUCCAAAAAGACUUCGAGGCAUCCCAAAGUGUCUGCCCAUUCGGCCGGAUGCCCAUCCCACUCAGUGUUACAUUCUGCCUCGCUCGGGAUGGGUACUCCGGGGGCAUCCGCCGACGCUCCUCUGUGCCCCCAGUGAGCAGUUCUGUGCGGGUCAUCAACCAUCCUGACCCAGGCCCCCAUCUGACCUCCUGAGCCCUUGAUUGUGGCUGUCCAUCUUGUCUCUUCCCCGAGUCCCCCCCCCACAAACUGUCUUCAGCGGGACCCCCUCUUGGGUCCCUCCCUGUGCCAUCACCUGAAGACCCCCCACGCGCUGAACACCGAAUGUCACCUUGCCUGCUGUCCCAGACCAUCUUGCAGCGGCCCGUGUUCGCCCCAACUCUACCCCUUUAACAUGCUGGUAUUUCUGGCAAAAUCCAUUGCUUGGGUUUUGUCUUUAACUUUUAAUGCUCGCAAUCCCAAUAAAGCAUUCAAAUUUA
ensembl:lncRNA